GGUCUGCAGUCGGUAAGCGAAGUGAUAAGUAACCACCUGGGAGUACGUCGCAAGGUGAGCUCAAAGGAUUGACGGGSCCSACAASGUGGAGCAUGWGGUUUAGAUUCGAUGAUACAGCGAGGCACCUUACCACGGCUUAAAUGUAGAUUGCGAGGUUUAGAGAUAGACUUUSCUUCGGGCAAUUUACAAGGUGCUGCAUGCUUGUSGUCAGCUCGUGCCGUGAGGUGUCAGGUUAAGUGCUAUAACGGAGCGCAACCCCURUUGUUAGUUGCCAGCUGAGUCAUKUCGGGGAACUCUAGCAAGACUCGCCGGGUGCAAACCGGASAGGAAGGUGGGGGAUGACGUCAAAUCAUCACGGCCCUUACGUCCUGGGCCACACACGUGCUACAAUGGUAGGUACAGAGAGCAGCCACUGGUGACCAGGAGCGAAUCUAUAAAGCCUAUCACAGUUCGGAUCGGAGUCUGCAACUCGACUCCGUGAAGCUGAAUCGCUAGUAAUCGGAUAUCAGCAUGAUCCGGUGAAUACGUCCGGCUA
rnacentral:rRNA from 1 species